GUCUAUGGCUAUGCCACCAUAAAUAUACCCGAUCUUGUCUGAUCUUGGAAGCUAAGCAGGGCUGGGCCUGGUUGGUACUUGGAUGGGAGACUACCUAGGAAGACUGGAUAAAAAUAAAAA
rfam:Pteropus alecto contig99510, whole genome shotgun sequence.